rnacentral:rRNA from 1 species
UACGAAGGGGGCUAGCGUUGCUCGGAAUUACUGGGCGUAAAGGGCGCGUAGGCGGACAGUUUAGUCAGAGGUGAAAGCCCAGGGCUCAACCUUGGAAUUGCCUUUGAUACUGGCUGUCUUGAGUUCGGGAGAGGUGAGUGGAAUUCCCAGUGUAGAGGUGAAAUUCGUAGAUAUUGGGAAGAACACCGGUGGCGAAGGCGGCGACCUGGUCCGAUACUGACGCUGAGGCGCGAAAGCGUGGGAGC